CCUACGGGAGGCAGCAGUGAGGAAUAUUGGUCAAUGGGCGCGAGCCUGAACCAGCCAAGUCGCGUGAGGGAGGACGGCCCUACGGGUUGUAAACCUCUUUUGCCGGGGAGCAACGGGCGUCACGUGUGGCGCCACUGAGAGUACCGGAGAAAAAGCAUCGGCAAACCUCGGGCCAGCAGCCCGGGUAAUACCGGGGAUGCGAGCGUUAUUCGGAUUUUUUGGGUUUAAAGGGGUCGUAGGCGGAUCGUUAAGUCAGUGGGAAAAUUGAGGGGCCAAACCGUUUCCCGCCGUUGAAACUGGAGCUCUUGAGUGGAAGAGAAGUAUGCGGAAUGCGUGGGGUAGCGGUGAAAUGCAUAGAUAUCACGCAGAACCCCGAUUGCGAAGGCAGCAUGCCGGCUUCCGACUGACGCUGAAGCACGAAAGCGUGGGGAUCGAACAGGAUUAGAUACCCUAGUAGUC
rnacentral:rRNA from 1 species